rnacentral:rRNA from 1 species
GCACAAGCAGUGGAGUAUGUGGUUUAAUUCGACGCAACGCGAAGAACCUUACCAAGUCUUGACAUCCCUUGACGAUGCUGGAAACAGUAUUUCUCUUCGGAGCAAGGAGACAGGUGGUGCAUGGUUGUCGUCAGCUCGUGUCGUGAGAUGUUGGGUUAAGUCCCGCAACGAGCGCAACCCUUAUUGCCAGUUACUACGCAAGAGGACUCUGGCGAGACUGCCGUUGACAAAACGGAGGAA